rnacentral:rRNA from 1 species
GAUGAACGCUAGCGGCAGGCUUAAUACAUGCAAGUCGAGGGGCAGCGCAGUGUAGCAAUACAUGGGCGGCGACCGGCAAACGGGUGCGGAACACGUACGCAACCUUCCUUUAACUGGGAGAUAGCCCACCGAAAGGUGGAUUAAUAUCCCAUAGUAUAUUUGAAUGGCAUCAUUUAGAUAUUAAAGCUCCGGCGGUUAAAGAUGGGCGUGCGUCUGAUUAGGUAGUUGGCGGGGUAACGGCCCACCAAGCCCACGAUCAGUAGCUGAUGUGAGAUCAUGAUCAGCCACACGGGCACUGAGACACGGGCCCGACUCCUACGGGAGGCAGCAGUAAGGAAUAUUGGUCAAUGGACGCAAGUCUGAACCAGCCAUGCCGCGUGGAGGAUGAAGGCCCUCUGGGUUGUAAACUUCUUUUCUUUGGGACGAAACCCCUGUUUCUACGGGGACUGACGGUACCAGAGGAAUAAGCACCGGCUAACUCCGUGCCAGCCGCCGCCGUAACAC